GUGUUUUUCGGAGAUGAAUACUCAUUGUUUGAGUAUUAUGAUUCUCAUCUGAAUAGGAAGAUCUGAUGC